GGGUUGUGAGGUUAAGCGACUAAGCGUACACGGUGGAUGCCCUGGCAGUCAGAGGCGAUGAAGGACGUGCUAAUCUGCGAUAAGCGUCGGUAAGGUGAUAUGAACCGUUAUAACCGGCGAUUUCCGAAUGGGGAAACCCAGUGUGUUUCGACACACUAUCAUUAACUGAAUCCAUAGGUUAAUGAGGCGAACCGGGGGAACUGAAACAUCUAAGUACCCCGAGGAAAAGAAAUCAACCGAGAUUCCCCCAGUAGCGGCGAGCGAACGGGGAGCAGCCCAGAGCCUGAAUCAGUGUGUGUGUUAGUGGAAGCGUCUGGAAAGGCGCGCGAUACAGGGUGACAGCCCCGUACACAAAAAUGCACAUGCUGUGAGCUCGAUGAGUAGGGCGGGACACGUGGUAUCCUGUCUGAAUAUGGGGGGACCAUCCUCCAAGGCUAAAUACUCCUGACUGACCGAUAGUGAACCAGUACCGUGAGGGAAAGGCGAAAAGAACCCCGGCGAGGGGAGUGAAAAAGAACCUGAAACCGUGUACGUACAAGCAGUGGGAGCACGCUUAGGCGUGUGACUGCGUACCUUUUGUAUAAUGGGUCAGCGACUUAUAUUCUGUAGCAAGGUUAACCGAAUAGGGGAGCCGAAGGGAAACCGAGUCUUAACUGGGCGUUAAGUUGCAGGGUAUAGACCCGAAACCCGGUGAUCUAGCCAUGGGCAGGUUGAAGGUUGGGUAACACUAACUGGAGGACCGAACCGACUAAUGUUGAAAAAUUAGCGGAUGACUUGUGGCUGGGGGUGAAAGGCCAAUCAAACCGGGAGAUAGCUGGUUCUCCCCGAAAGCUAUUUAGGUAGCGCCUCGUGAAUUCAUCUCCGGGGGUAGAGCACUGUUUCGGCAAGGGGGUCAUCCCGACUUACCAACCCGAUGCAAACUGCGAAUACCGGAGAAUGUUAUCACGGGAGACACACGGCGGGUGCUAACGUCCGUCGUGAAGAGGGAAACAACCCAGACCGCCAGCUAAGGUCCCAAAGUCAUGGUUAAGUGGGAAACGAUGUGGGAAGGCCCAGACAGCCAGGAUGUUGGCUUAGAAGCAGCCAUCAUUUAAAGAAAGCGUAAUAGCUCACUGGUCGAGUCGGCCUGCGCGGAAGAUGUAACGGGGCUAAACCAUGCACCGAAGCUGCGGCAGCGACGCUUAUGCGUUGUUGGGUAGGGGAGCGUUCUGUAAGCCUGCGAAGGUGUGCUGUGAGGCAUGCUGGAGGUAUCAGAAGUGCGAAUGCUGACAUAAGUAACGAUAAAGCGGGUGAAAAGCCCGCUCGCCGGAAGACCAAGGGUUCCUGUCCAACGUUAAUCGGGGCAGGGUGAGUCGACCCCUAAGGCGAGGCCGAAAGGCGUAGUCGAUGGGAAACAGGUUAAUAUUCCUGUACUUGGUGUUACUGCGAAGGGGGGACGGAGAAGGCUAUGUUGGCCGGGCGACGGUUGUCCCGGUUUAAGCGUGUAGGCUGGUUUUCCAGGCAAAUCCGGAAAAUCAAGGCUGAGGCGUGAUGACGAGGCACUACGGUGCUGAAGCAACAAAUGCCCUGCUUCCAGGAAAAGCCUCUAAGCAUCAGGUAACAUCAAAUCGUACCCCAAACCGACACAGGUGGUCAGGUAGAGAAUACCAAGGCGCUUGAGAGAACUCGGGUGAAGGAACUAGGCAAAAUGGUGCCGUAACUUCGGGAGAAGGCACGCUGAUAUGUAGGUGAAGCGACUUGCUCGUGGAGCUGAAAUCAGUCGAAGAUACCAGCUGGCUGCAACUGUUUAUUAAAAACACAGCACUGUGCAAACACGAAAGUGGACGUAUACGGUGUGACGCCUGCCCGGUGCCGGAAGGUUAAUUGAUGGGGUCAGCGCAAGCGAAGCUCUUGAUCGAAGCCCCGGUAAACGGCGGCCGUAACUAUAACGGUCCUAAGGUAGCGAAAUUCCUUGUCGGGUAAGUUCCGACCUGCACGAAUGGCGUAAUGAUGGCCAGGCUGUCUCCACCCGAGACUCAGUGAAAUUGAACUCGCUGUGAAGAUGCAGUGUACCCGCGGCAAGACGGAAAGACCCCGUGAACCUUUACUAUAGCUUGACACUGAACAUUGAGCCUUGAUGUGUAGGAUAGGUGGGAGGCUUUGAAGUGUGGACGCCAGUCUGCAUGGAGCCGGCCUUGAAAUACCACCCUUUAAUGUUUGAUGUUCUAACGUUGACCCGUGAUCCGGGUUGCGGACAGUGUCUGGUGGGUAGUUUGACUGGGGCGGUCUCCUCCUAAAGAGUAACGGAGGAGCACGAAGGUUGGCUAAUCCUGGUCGGACAUCAGGAGGUUAGUGCAAUGGCAUAAGCCAGCUUGACUGCGAGCGUGACGGCGCGAGCAGGUGCGAAAGCAGGUCAUAGUGAUCCGGUGGUUCUGAAUGGAAGGGCCAUCGCUCAACGGAUAAAAGGUACUCCGGGGAUAACAGGCUGAUACCGCCCAAGAGUUCAUAUCGACGGCGGUGUUUGGCACCUCGAUGUCGGCUCAUCACAUCCUGGGGCUGAAGUAGGUCCCAAGGGUAUGGCUGUUCGCCAUUUAAAGUGGUACGCGAGCUGGGUUUAGAACGUCGUGAGACAGUUCGGUCCCUAUCUGCCGUGGGCGCUGGAGAACUGAGGGGGGCUGCUCCUAGUACGAGAGGACCGGAGUGGACGCAUCACUGGUGUUCGGGUUGUCAUGCCAAUGGCACUGCCCGGUAGCUAAAUGCGGAAGAGAUAAGUGCUGAAAGCAUCUAAGCACGAAACUUGCCCCGAGAUGAGUUCUCCCUGACUCCUUGAGAGUCCUGAAGGAACGUUGAAGACGACGACGUUGAUAGGCCGGGUGUGUAAGCGCAGCGAUGCGUUGAGCUAACCGGUACUAAUGAACCGUGAGGCUUAACCUUACAACGCCGAAG
rnacentral:rRNA from 1 species